CGGAGGAGCUUGCUCUUGCCAUCGCAGAUAACGCCGAGCUCGCCAAGCAUCGUCGUGCCUCCGCCUGCCGUCGCUGCCCUCGCAACAACUCGCCCAGCAAAAAGCAGAGGUAGAAGCUUCCAUGGCGACCAUAGCCACGAUGGCCUUGCUCAAGCCCGCCAAGAUCGUGGUGCGGUCGGCGCUGCCGCCGUCCACCAGCGGCGGCGUCUCGCUACGCAGCCUGGCGCCCAAGAAGCAGAGCGCGCUGGCGGUGUCGUCGUCGCCCGCGGCGGCGGCGAUGGCGGGCGCCUUCUUCCACGCGCUGGCGUCGUCGGACGCGGCGCUGGCGGCGCAGCGGGUCGCCGACGUGGCGGCGGCGGACGCGGGCAGCGACAACCGGGGCCAGCUGCUGCUGUUCGUGGUGGCGCCCGCCAUCGGGUGGGUGCUCUACAACAUCCUGCAGCCGGCGCUGAACCAGCUCAACCGCAUGCGCAGCCAGGCGGUCAUCGCCGGCGUGGGCCUCGGCGCCGCCGCCACCGCCGCGGGGAUGGCGUGCGCGCCCGAAGCCUCGGCCGCUGUCCAGGACCUCGCCGCGCUGGCGGCCGCCGCGGCUGCCCCCGCCGACGACAACCGGGGCCUGCUGCUGCUCAUCGUCGUCGCGCCCGCCAUUGGGUGGGUUCUCUUCAACAUCCUCCAGCCCGCGCUCAACCAGCUCAACCGCAUGCGGUCCGACUGAGCGAGCUCUCUUGCCAAGCACCUGCAGUGCGUGUGCGUUCGUGUGUAUUAAAAUUAAGGAUGGUAGUAACGUGAAUCGCGGUCUGCGUGCCCUGUGUUUCGAUGCAAGUUCUUGAACAAAUGCAGUACAGCUCUUUCUUCUCCAUUUGGUUCUUGCUGUCUUGCUGACUACAUCUUCGUCUCCGAUGUCAUGUCUUGAUCAGUUUACUAUACGAAUCUUUACUCUGGUGCAUCGAGCACAGACCCGUCCGGAAUCCCUCGUCGGCGGCGAGCAGCAGCGGAGGAGCCCGGCCAUGGGUCGCUGCUGGAAAUUAUCCUGUGUAAGGGCUACGGGCCUCCGCGGACGAAAGCGCGAGUCCGGUAGUUGGGCCUCUUUUAGGCCCAGAAAACGAUCGUGCUCAAGGUUCUCAGAUUGAGCCUCUCCACCGUUCCUUCUGGAUCUGACGCUCCAGAUGACCCCGGGCCUGGACGGUAACUGAAAAACCGUAACACUCCUCGCCGGCGGUAGCACCGCCAUGUAAACGCGCUACCUGUCCAUCUUGUUCCUCCCCGCACCUCGUAUCACCGUCUCGGCGGCGCGGCACCAUCCUCGCCGGACCGGCGACCUCUCCCCUCCCGCGCGCUUCGCGCGCGCACGGCGGCCGGCUGGCAUCCUCGCGGCGGCCACCUUCGGGCUUGUUCGCUUCAGUUUAUCAGCCGGCUUAUCAGCCACCGAACAGUGUUUUUCUCUCACAACAAAUCAGCCGUUUCAACUUUUCAGCCGGCUUAUAAGUCCAGCCGAACAGGCCCUUCUACGCCGGCACCAACUUCACGGGUCGCCUGAAACGUUACCUAUCCGCCGAGCUGACUGACUUCCUCUAUGAUAUUGCUGUAAGUUCACAUAAAAAUUGGUCACUUCGUACUCGAGAAUGCGCUGAGCACAAAGCGAUCAUCAGCACGGCGUUCGCCUUGACGAGGAGGAGGGCCUUGGCCAAUGGCCAUGGUAACGGUACGUGUCGGUGGCGGAUGACGCCUCGCUACACGAGCGCUGCCUGCCCACCGACGCACGGCGUCGCCAGCGAGGGUUUCACCGAGUCAUUUUGAAGAAUGCGGGCGUCUAAAUGUUAGCAGCAUAGUUUUCGAAUUUCGAUGGACAUCCAUGCUCAGGCGCUCGCUCGCUGGCCGUGUCGCCGGCUACGAGCGCCAGCCGAAGAGCCUGCUGCCCCCGCGGCGAGCACGAGCCGAGCAAGUCCAGGAGAAAACUGCGGCGGGGCGGCUCCUCUGCUAUAACAGGCCGCAGCGAAGCGUGGGCUAAGGUGUUUGGGCCUCCUCUAGGCCCAUGAAACGCACAAGAUCCAGCCCGCAGUCUACAGAUCCAACGGUCCAGGGACCUCGACCCGGGAUGGUAAAUGAAACCCCGGCCUGGUCGCUGGACUGCUGCCCAGUGCCCGCCGCCGUGGCCGCGUGCCGGCGCGCUCCCCCUACACGGCGCCGCCGGCGUUCGUCUCCCUCCAUCGGCGUCACCAUGGACCAUGCCGUCGCGCGGAACAGCCGAGCAUGUACCAGCGCUCACCUCCGCGGCGGCGUCCGACGCGAUCGACGCCGUUGCACAGCCGUCAGCCGGCACCUCCACGUACUCCUGCGUGGCGGCCUUCGGCGUCGCUGCGAUGGUGCGGCUUGCUAGUAGUACCCAGGUGCCCCUGCGUGCUGGUCUCUGCGUGACUGCAUCGAUCGGGAUUCGAGAAGAGGACAGAGGAGGUAGGAGGCAAGGACAGUGGACGCAAACAGGGAGGCGGUCAGGGUCAAAGCUCUUGCAUGCGUGCGCCUUGACUCGCGUGCUCGGCCUUGCCCGCCUGCGCGUGGCAGCCGUCGGCGUACGCUCGCAGGCUCGCAGCUCUGCUGCUGCUUCACUUACGCUGCGCCUCUCCUCUCUUCAUCACUCUUGUCGUGCCCGAGUACAGGCUUGUGUGUGUGCAGGCGCACGCCGCCUCUCCUAACAUGGGGGUGUGGUACUGUAACCUGCACACUGCACAGCCUGCCUUUGCAACUUUUAACAACCACCUAUCGUGCGCCUGCAUUGACCCCUUCAUCAGAUCCUAGGUUAAACUUUAACCCUCUUAUUCAGACGCCAAACAAAAAAAAAACUAAAUGUAUGAGUUAAUUACGCAGGUAAUAGAUAAUUGGUGGUAGGAAUCCAUUAAUCCUGAUUAAUCCAUGUUCAACACAUUAACACACCUAGUGUUAAGUUUUAACCAAAUAGAGCCUUUGGAAUAGAAUAUGAUAAUCUCAUAUGCUGUUACCCCCUGCGGCAAUUUUUUCUUGAAUCUUAGUGCACGCAAUCAGUGUUAAAAUUUGACUAUUGAUUUGCUUCUGUGUACCAAUGGUUGGAAAUCUAUGUCUGUCUGCCUUCAUCAGCGUAUUAUUAAUAUAUAUAGGCUAGGGAUUGAGCAAGAAAUAGAAUUACAGGGGGGUGGGGGGCGAGCAAAUUAGAUCAUUGGACUUUCUUAGAUGUAAGUGGUCAGAUAAUUCAUGCAAGUUGAUCGUAAGCGCAAGGAUUUUCAGUUAAUGAUACAUCAACGCUUCAGAAGAGCUUGAGGAGCUAGGUUCUAUUUUCAAGCAAUCUAAAUGCUUUUGCCAUGAUCAUGCAUGGCGAAACCAUUUAUACAUCGUUGGUACAGUGCUUGACUUGCGAUCGUGGUUGGAUGUAUUUAGGCGCAUAGUCGUUGGUACAGUGCUUGACUUGCGAUCGUGGUUGGAUGUAUUUAGGCGACACUAUGCGGUUCCACGACAUUGGUUGAAUACCAAAUCAACUGUCCACAUAUUUUAUUUUGUCACGAUUUUCUAUCAACUGUCCACAUAUUUCAUUUUGUCACGGUUUUCUUUCUCCCAUGCUGAUUAAAUAUUUUGUUCUUGCGUCUGCCAUUUCAAAAUAAAUGGUUUCAUUUUGCAACAUGUUGUGUUCUCAUAGUUAUUUAAAGCUAUAAGUAUAAUUAUAAUUAAAAAAUUAUACAUUUUAUGGUGUAAGGUUUUUCAGUUUAUGGGGUGGGUGGCCCUAGCCACCCUUCCUGCCUUCGCCACUUUUAUGCUCUAGUUGAUUGUAAAUGCAAAGGAUUUUUAGCUGGUGAUUAAAUAAUGUUUUGGAUAAGAGGAUUGCAAACUGGUUCCACGUUCAAAGCGGUGUGGAUGGCAUGAGAGACUGAAAGAAAAUGGGAGAGAUCGAAGCUGGAGAGGUAACCUGCAUCUGGAAAAAAAAAAGUCAAAGUUAGUACAAUGCUUGAAUUGCGAUAAUGAUUGGAUAUAUUUGAGUGUGGUCGAGAUAUCAAGUCAUACCUAAUGUGUAAUUCUAUGCACCAAAUCGUAGAUCGUCCACAUAUAUUGUGUCUCGUGUCUCGUACCAUCCUACAUACUUGCAAACCUUCUGAUCUUUUUACUCACUCAUAUAGUAUAAUUUAAAUUACGAAAAAUCAUUUGAUCUCUCACUGAAACGUGCGAUUUCCCUCGCCAAUCAAAGUCCUUGACAAGUUGCAUCUACUGAUCCAACGACGAUGAUGUGAUCGUCUACCACCACAGUGACCUAUCACAUAACCCCCGUGAUGCCCUUCAAACCCUUCCCUUUCUACCCUUCCCCCAUCGAGUACGAUGGAAAGGCCGCAACGGGGGACACCGCAAUCCGGCCCACCAAUGGCCUCCCUCCACGUCAGCCAACCGCCGCCACGUCAGCAAAGGAUCGCGGAAAAGCGCCUCGCCACCCCGCUUCUCGCCGCGGGAGAUCUCCUCGCUUUCCCUCCAAACAGUCUCUCUCUUUCUCUCUCGUGCGCGACAAGGCGUCCUCGGGCGGCGUGAGGGCGCGAUGGCGAGUGGCUGCGGCGGGCGGCGGGGGCGGAAGCCGAGGGCGAGGGCGCGGGGCAAGGGGAAGAAGACCAGGUACCUCAGCCUCAGCGAUGUCCUGAUUAAGGUGGAGGCGGAGGCGGGGACGCCGCCGCGGUCGCAGGAGGAUGAGCCCGCGCCGGCGUGGGAGGAGGCGGAGGUGAAGCAGGAGGACGCCGGGGAUGGAGGCGGCCAGCAGCAGCCGCCGCAGCAGGUGGAGCCGUUCGCGCUGCACAACGAGGCAUCCACCCUGUUCGCGGCGCUGCCGGCGCCGUCGCUCUCCGACAUCCUCGGCGCCUCCGCUGGCGGCGGCGACGGCGACGAGUCGCCCUCGCCGUCCGCGUCGCCGGACGGGGGUUCCGGGGGGUCGGAGUUGCCGUGCGCCCAAGAGGAGGACCUGGCGCGGCGCGCGCUAAGGGGCAGGGAGCGUUGGGUGUACUGCAGCAGCGGCUCCUCGCCGACGGCCACCACCGCCACCACGUCGUCGUCGUCGCCGUGCUCCUCCGCGGCGAGCACGGGCGCCUCGGUGCGGUCGCUGCUGCUCAAGCUGGACUACGGGGAGAUCCUCGCCGCAUGGGCGGACCGGGGGUCGCUCUACAUCGGCGGCGGCGGCGGAGGCGCGGACAGCGACGCCGCGCCGGAGCUGGAGCUCAACGCCGUAAGUCUGUUCGCCUCCUCGCAGGCUCGCAAAGCCCCAGCCUUUCGGGGCUCCUCGUAUCGUCCGCACGGGUUUCGGAGACACGGCUGUGAUAACGGUGGCGCCGUCUGUGCAGGUGUUGGUGGAGGUGGAGCCGCCUGAGCAUGCCGCGAGUGCGCCGCCACCGCCGGCGCCGGCGGCGUUCGCGUGGACCGCGGCGGAGACGGAGGCGGCGGGGCGCGAGAGGGCGGAGAAGGUGAGGCGAUACAAGGAGAAGCGGCGGAACCGGCUGUUCGCGAAGCGGAUCCGGUACGAGGUUCGCCGGGUCAAUGCCGUCAAGCGGCCGCGGUUCAAGGUGACGACAUCAAUAUCACUUUUCCGUUGAUACGCCAUUACUGAUGAGUAAAGUAGCAUGACAUGAGCUGCCGUUUCCUCAUUCAUCACUGCACUAUUAAUACGCCAUUAAUUCAUUAUUGAUGUGCCAAGAAAUGAGUUGCUGUGAUCUAAUUUGUGGCACAAAUACUGCUCUGGAUCCAUAUUUUAACUGCAAGUUGAUCGGAAUUGGAUUUUACUGCAAGUAUAAUUUUGGAUACCUUGUGUCUUUAUUUGUGCAUGCAUAUACCUGCAGCUCAAACAGGAUGCUUGAAUUUUGCUAAUUUCAUUAUGCGAGGGGAGAACUGUGCCCAAAGCAUAGUCAUUUGAGUUCCUAUAUGAUCUUUUGUCCAAAUUUCCUAAACAGAGCUUCUGUGGGUUGCAUGGGUGCUGAAAUGGUGACCCACUUUGUCGGUCAGGAGCAAAACUAAUAGAUUGCUCAUGGUUGAUGUUCCAGAUGUUGUGAUAGCUGAACCCCAUAAAAAUAAUUUCCUGCCUAGUUCUAAUACUGAAUUGGUUCACUCAACCGUGAAACAGAUGAACACUCCGCCCUGAAUCCCUAUCUAGUUGUGUGGGUUCACCUUCAGCAGAACAUCAACAUGCCUUUCUCAUCGCGGCUUAUUUUAAAGGAACAUUUUAAUGCUCACAAUAUGUUGUUCCUAAGAAGAAUGCAUGAACUACAGUGUCAAUCCUUUGAUUCAGGAAACCAAAACAGUGUAGAAAUACUUCAUCUUUUGCUUUGUUGCUAGCAACCACUCAGCACAUAAAGCAUGAAACCAGUAAUCGUGAUACCAAAACAGUGUAGAAAUACUUCAUCUUUUGCUUUUUUGCUAGCAACCACUCAGCACAUAAAACAUGAAACCAGUAAUCGUUCCAUUAUCCCAAUGUACUCUAUACAUUUGCUUCUUCGUUUGUUACUAAAUUCUGCUCUGAUCAAACAAUGCAUUUCUUGUGUUACCGAAUUGCAGGGCCGUUUCAUAAAGGAACAUGAGGAUAUCAAGCUCCAGCCCACAUAGCCCCCCUGGCUUCUUCCAUCACCACAAGGAUAGCCCGUGUAUAUACGGUUAGUUGCCUUGUUGUCUUAUCCCAGUUAUUCUGUAUCCUCUACCCUGGGCAAGUUGCAAGCUUCAGGUGUAGAUCAGUAGAGGCAAAGUCAUAUUUCGUAGGAUGAAAAUAACAGAACUUAAAAGAUUGACCCAUGAGGUCAGUGAUCCAAGGCGAUCUGUUCGUCGUUUCUUGAUCUAUCGUUUGGAUUACUUGUUUGCAAACUGUGAACAAGGGCAAUGUUCAGUUGGCCACAAUUAGACUUUCCUCUCAGGAAGGGUUUGAGAAUUUGAUGUCUGAGCCAUCUGAUUAGAACAAAAAUGGUCUGUGUUUCUCAUAUCGAUAUCACAGCAUACGGGUACUUAGCACCCAGAUUAAAUGGUUUAUACCAACAGUCGCUGAAUCAUGUAGUGUCUUGCAAAAUACUGGUGCCUGUUACCGCUGGGUAUUUUCUAGAGCUACUUCUGGUUUUGCAUGAAGAGUCUGUUCAUCGUUGCAUCUUGCAUUUCCAAAGGAUCAGGCUAUCAGUUCUGAUUUGUCGAAAAUGACAAGUGAAAUUCUGGCAACAACUCAACUUUCCUCUUAAGCAAGCAAGGAUCCAGCUGAGAUUUGAGCUGUCUGGUUAGUGGAAAACAGAUACCUGUUCUUGGAUUUAUAUAACGAGAGAUGGAUAAUUUCUCCAGAACUUGAGAUGUCAAAGACAUGUGUAAUAAGUUAAACUGCCGUAUGCGGAUCUUGUAGUAGAACAGUAAAAAAGUGUAUUGGGGAAUGCAAGUGCAUGUGAAUUCAGCACCGGACCUGAUGGAGAGGGAUCGGUCGGUCGGUCCACUCCGGCGUGCCGUUCUGCUGCGCCUGCUGGAGUCAGGGUACGAUCAGUCAUGUGUGUGAGGCCGUCCCGGGGCAGCGAGGCCAACCUGUCAGCCAGCGUUGUCGUGAACAUGGACUGGGGCCACCUGUAGUUGUCUUGUUCCUUUUGGCUGCCACGUGGGCUGCUGGGCUGGGCGCGAGCGUCGGUGCCGGCUCGGAGAUCGUUGGGCCGCGAUUGCGACUUGGACCACCGGACGCGGGUUCGGGAAUUUUUAUAUUUUUUUUAUUUUGCAAAAAUAUAUAUCCUAAUAAAAUUUUUUUACAAAUCUAUAGCUAUACCGCAGUUUGAAAUGGCUAUAGCCAAAUGAAACGGCGGAAGGUGCACUGUAGUAACUUUUGCAUUUCCCUCCUCUGGGCAGUACACUUUCAAAUAAUUAAAUUUUAGAUCCGAAACUUUUAUCAAUUAUUUGAGCACCAACAUGGAUCAAAUAAAAAAUGUUUAAAGAGCUACAAUUUUCAUAUAAAGCUUAUCUCCAUCCGAGUUCAUAUGAGUGUGCUGCAAAGAGAAGUACAUUCCGCCGGUUCAACUGGCAGCUGUUUCGAACGGUGGUAUAGUUAUAGAUCUGUAUUUUUUUAUUAGGACAUAUUUUUGUAAAAUACUAAAAUAAAAAAUAAAAAAUAAAAAAAAUCCGGGUUCGGCCGUGUCCGAUGAGCAGCGGCGUCCGAGGUCAAUUGAUGUGCGUGUGCCACGCCGGAGAAGAUUUUACUGCUAGACUUUCAACUUUCAUCACUGUGAAAAAAGAAAGGGUAGAAUUCAACUCUGCUUUGACCUGUGAAUUUGCUGUGUCUGUACGAACUGAACCAGUUAAUCUAAAACCACAGCAAAAAUAUUUGUAGAAUUCAUAGGAUUUUCCUUUUUUUGAAAAGGGACUUCAUAGGUUCGUAGCAGGCCUGGCAGCUACAUAACGUUCGUGGCGUUAUCCAGCAAUUUGUUACGCUCGUGGACCUUCCUCGUACAUCUCUUUUGGCAUUGGCGAUGGCCCAUUGUUGGGGGAACGAGAGCGAGCAGGCCCAAUCUAUUAAGUGAAACACGGCCUCGAUGGGCCUCAUGUUGAAUACAUAUAGAAUGAGGCCCACGAUUUCUGAACUCUCUAUCCAACCCAGAUUUGCAGCGUAUGACCGUGGCGACUAUGGGCUUGAUCGGUUUCCUUCUCUGCUGAGCCUGGCUCGUUUCCAGUAACCAGGCCCCCGCUAGCCUGGCUGAGCUGAUGCGAGGGAGCUUUGAUUGGAUAGCAGCUUGCAUGCAUCCUAGCUAGACAGAGCCGCUGUUCGGUUGCUUUGAUUGCAGCACGCGCAUACUAGUUUUAACCGCCGUGCAUGCACCCACGCCGCGGGAGCCUGGCUCCGUGGAAACGAAGGAUCUGGCCGCUCCCGGGAGUCAGGCUCCAAGCGCCCUUUUGCCGCCCCGGGAGUCAAGGCUCCAAGCGCCCCUUUGCAUGCUGCGGGUCAGGUCCAGCAACAAGCUCAGGAAAUCAUUAGCCUGCGACACAUUCUGAUCCUCAAAAUAGGAAAUCAUUUCUCCCUCGACCCCGAUCGCCUCUCCUGUGUGCUGCCACCCCCCGACUCCUUCUCCCAUCGACUCCUCGAGCGCUGCGCCAUGGCCCCCUCCUCCACUUCCUAGUGCCCCCUCCUCCGCCGCCCCCUCUUCCUCUUCGUGCUACGGAAUCCUCCCUACAGCAUGGCAGCUAGGGUUUCCUAGUGCCGAGCCGUUCUCCUCCUGCUGCCGGAGCCAAGGCCAGGCGCGGCGAAGAAGACAACGUCAAGCAUCACCAAGGCCAGGCGCGGCGAAGAAGACAACAUCAAGCAUCACCAAGGCCAGGCGCAGUGAAGAAGGUGACGCUGAGGAGCUCCAGGGGCGGGCGUGGCGAGGAAGGCGGCGUCGAGGAUCUCCAGAGCCAGCGGCCCCAUCUACCUCGCCGCCAUCCUCGAGUACCUUGACGCUGAGGUUCGUGCAACAUCUAUUCUCCUCCCUGAUUGCACUUCGCUCUUACUAUUUGUGCCUUAAUCUGGUUGUAGCAUGUUGUCUGAUUUGAAUGUCUAACAACAAUGGAGACUUCAUUUGAAUGUCUAACAACUCCAUGUGUUAGAGAGAGAGCUAUGCUAGUAGCAUGUUGUUCCAUUUGAAUUUCUAAUCAACCAAACCAUAUUUGGAAUCUAAUUCUAAGAAUUAGUUUCUUUGUACAUCCAAAUAAGAAAAUUGAAAUGAAUCUGAUUCUAUGUAAUUUAAUUCCUAUUGAAUCCAAUUGCUAGAAUGAGAUUCAAUUCUGACGAAACAAACACGCCUUAGGUAUAUGCACUUUGAAAACAGCAAAAGCAAAAUGUCUCCAUUGAGAAUAGACUUAGUGAUACCACUAAAGCUAAUUAAUUUCAUGGACCAUCUUCAAGGAUUUCUUUAAUUACUUUUAUUUAGGUUUCAUGUGUAUAUAAGACGAAGAAGAGUCAUGGAAGAGCUAUCAACAAAUGAUUAAGUUGUCUUAUUUUGAUCUCGUUGAGAAACUAGCGGAAAAUAUAUAACAGAUAGCCGUGUUAUUGUGUACAUGCUAAAAGAUAGUUGAUUUGGCAAAGUUUGAGUGGACUUUAGUGGCGAGAAGAGAAGUUUUUUGUUCUUGGAAUGCGUCCCUUAGGGCUUACAGGAUGCCUAGCACGAUCUCACCUUGGUUAUUGAGCUGGGCCGCAUGCAGGUUGGGAUGUGAUCAGUCGCAAGUCCCUCUGCAGUACGGUGGAGAGAAGAGGCUUGUCGGCAGGAGAAGAGGUUCCUUUUAACUUUGAGCUUCUACCUUUGAGUCACUAUCAUGCGAGCCUCCUUGCAUUUGAGCUCACAUGGCAUUAACUCAAAAGCAGAGGGAUCAAUCGUUCCGUCAGCACAAUACUCUUGAGGACAAACUGGAGGCUCAUUGCGUUCUUGUCUCUCUGGUAUUUGUAGUGCCUAGUCAGAGUUGAAUUAUCGUGCUAAGGUUACAUUUAUGCCGAUGUAUUCAUAGAGCCAUGUUUGAGACAUCAUCAAGUGCUGCAUUAGUAGAAUUGUGACAUCCGCGGAAGGAAUAACCUGAAACGUUCAACAAUUUAAUCUGGGGCAUGGCAUGGGUUGGAAGCUUUUGAUUUGGUUAUUGUCACGAUUAAUAGAUGGAUGAAUUGAAAUGAUCAUGCAUGUCUACCAAUGCAAACUGAUGGUGUCUUCUAUUUUCCUCAAGAAAUCGUAGUUGAUCUUGGUAGAAACUUUGCAUCGAAGUGCCCGAGUGGAGUAGGCAUUUUGACUAUUGAUGUGGUCGGGGGUAAGUGCCACGUUAGACUGGAGACAAAAUGGAAUGACGUAGGCCCAAACUGGCACUGUGUCCUUCCUUGAAACAGCUAGAAAUUUAGAAUUUCUCUAGUUCGUGUUCAAAUCACUUCGUAGCACGGCACUAGAGCUUCUGUGAAGUAUUUUUUUAGUGAACAGAAAGAAUAUGGUCCAGCAACUAGCAAAGAAUUCAUGACUUUGUAGCAUGGUACUAUUAGCUUGUGUGAACUAUUUGGUGAAGAUGUUGCGCGCGACGCCCUGGCAGCAACUAGCAAAAGGUGGUGGUUGGGUUGAGAACGAGCACGGGACGGAGCGAGCCACCUUCCGCGUACAGCGACGCCGGAUUUACGAUCGAGACCGUCACACCGGCGUGCCCUGCAGUGAGCCGAAGACGUCGGAUCCAGUCCAUGAUGCUCUACCCCCAGCCUGACCAGCACCCUUUGCCCCCCAAAUCAAAGCUAGGGAUGACUGGGCACCGCCACAUUGCCCGACGAAGCAUGCCCGGAGCGGCACCUAAUUAACCUGCUCUCGUCCCCCGAAUGCAUCCGGUACGGGACUAAAACGCCGUUGCAUUGUCAAGGGGAGGAGUAGCGGGAUGUGUACGCGAAGAGGUUGUCGUGACAGCUGCCGUCUCGCGUGGUCGUCCGAACGUGUGGAAGGGAUCAGGGAAGCGUGGUCGCACGCGCAGAGCUGUUACGGGUUCCCCUGUGAGGCGAGCGCCCUCGUCCUAGAGCUGCCGUUUUGCCGAGCGAGGACGACCAGCUGGCAGCUGUACGGAAUGGACGCUGCUAGCUGCUGGUACCACCCGCCAUGGUAGCUUUCCCCCUUGGCAUGCACGUACGGAAUGGACGCCGCUAGCUGCUGGUACCACCCGUCGGCCGGAGACUAUCCAGGCCCUUGGGGCAUGCAAGUGGCCAGCACGUACUCCAACACUCGAUUCUUCAGAAAAUCUGUAGGCUGUAUCAGCCGACACUCAAGUUGCUGAUAUGGCUUCAUCAAAUCAUCAUGCAACAUGCAUGCUGCUGUUUCUCUUGGGUGUCAAAUUGGCAAUGCAACUUGUUCAAUCGCCGGUGGAUGCAAGUGCAUCAGUUUCAAUAACACUUGAACCACAAUCGCCACUGCUUUACUCGUGCUCUGCGUUCCAGAAAAGAAGACAGGUUCAGGCCGAGGUCAAGUUGACUACGAGCGAACUUUAAACAUUUUUAAACCAUCCACUUUGUUUAUGGAUAAUUUUAUUCUUUAUUUUUAUUUUCAUACAACUGACGAUAUAGUGUAGCGUCAUACACUCGCAUGCGCUGCUCUGCUCACAGCCGGCGUACUUCUCUCAUCUACGGUCUAGCUGGCACACGUACGCAGAUGACGCGGCGGCGUCGUGAGCUCGAUCGGUGCGGGCGGCGAUGGAUCCAAAGCCCGUGACGCCGCACGCCAGUUGCUACGAGCCAGCUCCCGUCCAGGCCCCCACGCGGCGCGCGCACCACUGUCUUGGCGUACCGCGCACGCACACGCACACGCCAGGACGGCACCAUCUCCGACUCCAGUUCUGUUUUGCACGACAAGGGAUCGACGCCGUGCGCAAGCGCCGCAGUUUGGUUAAUUUUGUCCCACACCGGGCGACCUCGAGCGACAGGAACACCUCAAAUGGCGUGCCGCUGCGCCGAGAGGUCGCCGGGCCUCGUCGCGGUGGCCCACGUCAUUCCAAGCGGAGGCAAAGGUGAUGGCUCGGCGGGGGCAUUGCACCAUGUACCGGAACCGACACCCACCCUGCAGGUCCAAACGAUGUGACGGUCAAGGAGAAGCGGAGCUGGUGUGACGGUGACGACCGUAAAUCCGGCAGCCGUGAGGGCCAAGAUCGUAAAUCCGUAUGAUCCUGCACUAAGUGGGAUGGCUCGCUCCGUAUCCGUGCUGUGCACUCUAAAGAACCACCACCUUUUGUUCACCGUUGCAAAAUCAUUAUUUUGUAAUUUUAACAUUCUUUUAUACUUACAAUUAUACAUUUUUUAAACACAAAUAUUUC
rnacentral:lncRNA from 1 species